UUUAUUUUUCCUUUCUUUUUUCUCUUUUUUCUUUCUUCCUUCCUUUUUUCCUUUUCUUUUCUUUCUUCUGAGAAGCAACACGAAUGGGAGAGGGGGUGGUGAGAAUCUUAAGCAGAGGCUCCACGCUUAACACAGAGCCCAGCAUGGGGCUCAGUCCACGAGCCUGGGAUCAUCACUGGAGCCAAAAUCAAGAGUCUGCUGCUCAACCAACUGAGGCACCCAGGAGCCCCUGGCCUGUAAAGUGUCUACUGAAAAAUCAUCUCCUAGUGUUAGGUGGGGGCUCCCUUGUACAGAACUGGUUGUUUAUCUCCUGCUGCUUGUAAGAUUCUCUCUUUAUCUUUAACUGUUGAAACGGUGAUUAGACUGUGUCUUGCUGUCGGUCUCUUGGGGUUCAUCUUAAUUGGAACUCUCUGUGCUUCUCUGAUUUGGCGCGUGUCUCUUCACCAGGUGGGAGAAAUGUUCAGCCACUGUUUCUUCAAGUAGGUUUUCUAUCCCUUUCUCUCUUUCUUCUCCCUCUGGGAGCCUGUGAACGUUAGUGCACUUGGUGUUGUUCCAGAGGCCCCUUAACUGCCUCAUUUUUUAAAUUCUUUUUUCAGGGAGGGUCCUGCGUGGCUCCGUCAGUUGAGCAUCCAACUCUUGAUUUCGGCUCAGGUCAUGAUCCCAGAGUUGUGGGAUCGAGCCCCACAUCGGACUCCACACCAAGUGUGAAGCCUGCCUGGGAUUCUCUCUCUCCCCCUGUCCCUCUCCCCUGCUAGUGUGCAAGCUCUGUCUCUCAAAAAUAAAAAUAAAUAAAAAUAAGAUUCUUUUUUGGGAGUGCCUGGGUGGCUCAGUCAGUUAAGCGUCUGACUCUUGAUUUUGGCUCAGGUUAGAUUGAGCCCCGCAUUGGGCUCCACACUGGGUGUAGAACCUGCCUAAGAUAUUCCUCCCUGUCACCCUCCCUCUUCUCUCUCUCUCUCCCUCUCUCUCUCUAUCUCUCUCCCUCUCCCCUUCUCUCCCCCCUCCUCCCCCCUCCCCCUUCCUAUGUCUCUCUCCCUCCCUCCCUCUCCCUCUGCCCCUCCCCUGCUCACACUCUCAAAAGAAAAGAAAAGAAAAAGAAAAAAAAUUCUUUUUUCUUCUUGCUGUUUUAGCUGGGUGAUUUCCACUACCCUGUCUUCCAGCUUGCUAUUCCAUUUUGCAUCUUCCGAUCUCCUGUUGAUUCCCUGUAGUGUAUUUUAUAUUUUAGCUAUUGUAUUCUUCAGCUCAGAUUCUUUUUUAUGUUUUUAUCUCUUUGUUGAAGCUCUCACUGUGUUUGUCCCUUCUUCUCCUGAGUUCGGCGAGCAUCUUCCUGGUCACUACUCUGAACGCUAUCUGGUAGAUUGUUCAACUCUGUUUUAUUUAGUUCUUUUUCUAAGAUUUUGUCCUAUUAUUUUACUAGGAGCAUAUUCCUCUCUCCCCUCAACUUGCCCGACUCUCUGUAGAUCAGUUAUGUCUCCUGGUCCUGAAGGAGUUGCUUAUGCAGAAGGUGUCCUCUGGGACUGGGUAGUGCGAACUGCCCUGGUCACCCACGCCACAUGCCCCGGGGGGGUCCCCUGUGUGGGCUGUGGGCACCCUUCUGUGGUGGCUAGGUUGUGGUCGGUGCAUGCACACUGCCACCGCCCGGGCUGUGGCUAUGAGGCCCUGGCUGCUGUUGCAGGACUUGCAGCGUGUGGAGCUGGGUCCCCAGCGCAAGGGGUGCUUAGGGGGGCCCCGGGUGCCGGCUUGCCAGGUGUGGCAGUGCAUUUACGCUGAACUUGAAGUUUGUUUAUUAAUUUAUUCAAGAAAUCUCUACACUCAAUGCAGGGCUCGAACUCACAACCUCGAGAUCUAGAGUCCCAUGCUCUUCUGACUGAGCCGGCCAGAUGCGCCAAUAUGCUGGAUUUUACAUGAGAGCGGUAUCUGCCAGAAAAGGGAACGGAAGAACACCUCACCGGGUUGCCUGUUGGCCACAAAGAAACAGGAAUCCUCUUUGAAAAGUAAGCUCUUGAGGGCCUCCAGUCUGAUCAUGAGCUACAGCAACUCAGAUAUUUAGAGUGCUCGAGAAGGUGAAAAUACCAAUCAUUAAAAAAAUCUGCAGGAAA